rnacentral:rRNA from 1 species
CGGACGGGUGAGUAAUGCUUGGGAAUCUAGCUUAUGGAGGGGGGUAACUACGGGAAACUGUAGCUAAUACCGCGUAAUAUCGGAAGAUUAAAGUGUGGGACCUUCGGGCCACAUGCCAUAGGAUGAGCCCAAGUGGGAUUAGGUAGUUGGUGAGGUAAAGGCUCACCAAGCCGACGAUCUCUAGCUGGUCUGAGAGGAUGACCAGCCACACUGGGACUGAGACACGGCCCAG